rnacentral:rRNA from 1 species
UUUAAAGUCUGACCUGCCCAAUGAAUUUUAAAUGGCCGCAGUAUUUUGACUGUGCAAAGGUAGCAUAAUCAUUAGUUUUUUAAAUGGAAGCUGGAAUGAAGGGUUUGAUGAAAAAAUAACUGUCUCAAAUUAAUAUAUAUAUAACUUUAUUUUUAAGUUAAAAAGCUUAAAUUUUUUAAAAAGACGAGAAGACCCUAUAGAGUUUUAUAAUUUGUAUAAAUGAUAUUUUUGGUAUUUAAAUAUUUUAUUUAUAUAAAUUAUUUUAUUGGGGUGAUAAUAAAAUUUAAUAAACUUUUAAUUUUUUAAACCAUUAAUAUAUGAUUAAUUGAUCCUAUUUUUUAGAUUAUAAGAAAAAAUUACCUUAGGGAUAACAGCGUAAUUUUUUUUUAGAGUUCUAAUCGAAAAAAAAGAUUGCGACCUCGAUGUUGGAUUAAAAUAUAAAUUUGGUGUAGAAGCUAAAUUUUUAGGUCUGUUCGACCUUUAAAAUUUUACA